UACGGAGGGUGCGAGCGUUGCUCGGAAUCACUGGGCGUAAAGGGCGCGUAGGCGGGCUGCCAAGUUUGGGGUGAAAUCCUCCGGCUCAACCGGGGAAGUGCCUUGAAUACUGGCGGUCUGGAGGGAGGUAGGGGCGUGCGGAACUGUAGGUGGAGCGGUGAAAUGCGUUGAUAUCUACAGGAACUCCGGUGGCGAAAGCGGCGUGCUGGAUCUCUUCUGACGCUGAGGCUCGAAAGCUAGGGGAGCAAACGGG
rnacentral:rRNA from 1 species